rnacentral:rRNA from 1 species
UACGUAGGAUGCAAGCGUUGUCCGGAAUUAUUGGGCGUAAAGAGCGCGCAGGCGGCCCAUCAAGUCAGAUGUGAAAUAACCAGGCUUAACCUGGUGGGGUCAUUUGAAACUGGCGGGCUAGAGUCCAGCAGAGGAUAGCGGAAUUCCCGGUGUAGUGGUGAAAUGCGUAGAUAUCGGGAGGAACACCAGUGGCGAAGGCGGCUAUCUGGGCUGGAACUGACGCUGAGGCGCGAAGGCUAGGGGAGCAAACAGGG